GGGUAAAGUAUAACAAACAGCAUCAUCCCUCACCCAAAAAGCCUCCCAACAUUAUUUACUCCUUCUUCUUAUUGUUAUUAUUUUAUGAUUUAUUAUCUCAUUUAUUUAUAUUUAUUUUAGUCACCCCAAUCCCCUCUCUCUGUGAUAGCUUUGUCUGGAAGUUUGUACGAGCCUUGUGGUUACAGGCAGGAGCUGGUUUGUGGUCCCUUCCGCCCCCUCUCGUGCCAUUCUUGCUUGUUCUCCUCUCUCUUUCUCUCAUCUCUGAAUUCUUUCUGAAUGGCUGCAACGGCUCUAAAGGAGCAGCUGAAUGGAUUGGUGAACUCCAUGUUCGCAGAGGGAUUGUUGGAUGAACAGUUCCAGCAGCUUCAGAUGCUACAAGAUGGGAGCAACCCUGGCUUCGUGGCAGAGGUGGUCACCUUGUUCUGUGAGGAUUCAGAGAGGAUACUUGCGGACCUGACGAAAUUAAUGGAUCAAGCUGUUGUUGAUUACUCAAAAGUGGAUGCUUACGUUCACCAACUCAAAGGAAGCAGCUCUAGUGUGGGCACUCAGAAUGUGAAACUGGCCUGCAUUCAGUUCCGACAAUUCUGUGAAGAGAAUAACCAAGAAGGGUGUAUGAGGGCUCUGAAUGUGGUAAAGCAUGAAUAUUAUCAUCUGCGAAGCAAAUUUGAGACCAUGUUGCAGCUUUACUAGAUAACGGAUGUGGAGUUGACAAUUAAUCAGUGCACUCAGCUGCUGGCAAUGAAUGCAGGAAAUCAGUAGCAAAAUACUGGAGAACAGAAUUCAAGCCUACGAAACCAAACAGCAAAAUUAGAUGGCAGAGUUUCUGAUCACAUGAUGCCAGUUAGCUUCUUGUCUCUUCUUUAGGUUAUAGGACCUCUGCAGUAACCAGUAAUAACUGUUCAACAGAAUACACGGUGAGAGUGUUGGUGAAGUUCAGUUUCAUAAAUUCAAGUCAAAACUUCAAUGGUGAUCAAUAAACUGCAAUGUUCUCUAUCAUUUGAAAAUCUCUGCUGUAAACUAAUUGAAUCUUUGCAAAAUGAGUCAUAAUGCUUGAUCUGUAUUUGAAGCCCGUGAUAGUGUUACUUUCAGAACAAGAUUCAGAAGGAAGCUUGUUAGCUUUGGUCCU